UACGAAGGGGGCUAGCGUUGUUCGGAAUCACUGGGCGUAAAGGGCGCGUAGGCGGCUUUAUAAGUCGGGGGUGAAAGCCUGUGGCUCAACCACAGAAUUGCCUUCGAUACUGUAGAGCUUGAGACCGGAAGAGGUUAGUGGAACUGCGAGUGUAGAGGUGAAAUUCGUAGAUAUUCGCAAGAACACCAGUGGCGAAGGCGGCUCACUGGCCCGGUACUGACGCUGAGGCACGAAAGCGUGGGGGAGCAAACAGG
rnacentral:rRNA from 1 species